GGUCAGCUUGGCCAGGGCCAGGAGGUCCCAGGGCUCAGUGGGGCCACGGAUGGGGAGUGCAUGAGAGAAAAGGUGUGGGGAGAAGUGCAGCCAG